rnacentral:rRNA from 1 species
AACGAACGCUGGCGGCAGGCCUAACACAUGCAAGUCGAACGAGAUCUUCGGAUCUAGUGGCGGACGGGUGAGUAACGCGUGGGAACGUGCCCUUCUCUACGGAAUAGUCCCGGGGAAACUGGGUUUAAUACCGUAUACGCCCUUCGGGGAAAGAAUUUCGGGGAAGGAUCGGCCCCGCGUUGGAUUAGGUAGUUGGUGGGGUAAUGGCCUACCAAGCCGACGAUCCAUAGCUGGUUUGAGAGGAUGAUCAGCCACACUGGGACUGAGACACGGCCCAGACUCCUACGGGAGGCAGCAGUGGGGAAUCUUAGACAAUGGGGGCAACCCUGAUCUAGCCAUGCCGCGUGAGUGACGAAGGCCCUAGGGUCGUAAAGCUCUUUCGCCAGGGAUGAUAAUGACAGUACCUGGUAAA